CUUCGUUUCCUCGGCGGGUCCGCCCGCCGAUUGGACAACAUUCAAACCCUUUGCAGUUGCAAUCAGCGUCUGAAAAAACAUAAUAGUUACAACUUUCAACAACGGAUCUCUUGGUUCUGGCAUCGAUGAAGAACGCAGCG
rnacentral:rRNA from 1 species